rnacentral:rRNA from 1 species
GACGAACGCUGACGGCGUGCCUAAUACAUGCAAGUCGAGCGGACGAAUCGAAAGCUUGCUUUUGAUUCGUUAGCGGCGGACGGGUGAGUAACACGUGGGCAACCUGCCCUGUAGACGGGGAUAACACCGAGAAAUCGGUGCUAAUACCGGAUAACACGAAAUGUCGCAUGACGUUUCGUUGAAAGACGGCGCAAGCUGUCGCUACAGGAUGGGCCCGCGGCGCAUUAGCUAGUUGGUGAGGUAACGGCUCACCAAGGCGACGAUGCGUAGCCGACCUGAGAGGGUGAUCGGCCACACUGGGACUGAGGCACGGCCCAGACUCCUACGGGAGGCAGCAGUAGGGAAUCUUCCGCAAUGGACGAAAGUCUGACGGAGCAACGCCGCGUGAGCGAAGAAGGCCUUCGGGUCGUAAAGCUCUGUUGUUAGGGAAGAACAAGUAACGCAGUAACUGGCGUUACCGUGACGGUACCUAACGAGAAAGCCACGGCUAACUACGUG